rnacentral:rRNA from 1 species
CCCCUAGAUGUUCUGGGCCGCACGCGCGCUACACUGAACAGUUCAACAAGUCUUAACCUUGGCCGAUAGGUCUGGGUAAUCUUUGAACGCUGUUCGUGAUUGGGAUAGACCUUUGCAAUUAUGGGUCUUCAACGAGGAAUUCCUAGUAAACGCAAGUCAUCAGCUUGCAUUGAUUACGUCCCUGCCCUUUGUACACACCGCCCGUCGCACCUACCGAUUGAAUGGUCCGGUGAAAUCUCGGGACGGCGGCUUGGUCGCUUGCGUCCGACUGCUGAAACUUGAUUAAACCAUAUCAUUUAGAGGAAGGUGAAGUCGUACA